rnacentral:lncRNA from 1 species
CAUGGUUUUUGGUCGUUUGAUAUUAUAUUACAGUAACAGACCAUGUAUUUGGUCAUUAUAUAUUACAUAGACCAUGGUUUUGGUCAUAUAGAUAGUAACAGACCAUGUAUAUUUGGUCAUUAUAUGUGACGUAGACCAUGGUUUUGGUCGUUUGGUAUUAUAUAUUAUAGUAACAGACCAUGUAUUUGGUCAUUAUAUGUUAUGUAGAGACCAUGGUUUUGGUCGUUUGAUAUUAUAUAUUAUUGUAACAGACCAUGUAUUUGGUCAUUAUAUGUUAAUUAGAGACCAUGGUUUUGGUCGUUUGAUAUUAUUAUAGUAACAGACCAUGUAUUUGGUCAUUAUAUGUUACGUAG